AAGUCAUAACAAGGUUUCCGUAGGUGAACCUGCGGAAGGAUCAUUAACACGUAUCCAACGUUAAACAACCCUGUGAACUUUCAGACGCUCUUGUAGCCCAGGAGGAACAGCAAUCCCGGUAAAUCAAUGGCGGAAAAGUUUUGAUUCGGGACCUCUGUCCAAAAGGUAUCAAGUUACAAUCGAGCUAGGAGCAGUGGCAUGCGGCAGACAUGUCACAGGGCUUUACGCCCCUUCAUUCACCCUUGCCUAAUCAAGCCCCGCGGAAACGCCGGGCAAAAAAAUCUGAACAACUGUUCACAAUGGAUAUCUUGGUUCUC
rnacentral:misc_RNA from 1 species